GAUGAACGCUGGCGGCGUGCCUAAUACAUGCAAGUCGAGCGAACAGACGAGGAGCUUGCUCCUCUGACGUUAGCGGCGGACGGGUGAGUAACACGUGGAUAACCUACCUAUAAGACUGGGAUAACUUCGGGAAACCGGAGCUAAUACCGGAUAAUAUAUUGAACCGCAUGGUUCAAUAGUGAAAGACGGUUUUGCUGUCACUUAUAGAUGGUUCCGCGCCGCAUUAGCUAGUUGGUAAGGUAACGGCUUACCAAGGCAACGAUGCGUAGCCGACCUGAGAGGGUGAUCGGCCACACUGGAACUGAGACACGGUCCAGACUCCUACGGGAGGCAGCAGUAGGGAAUCUUCGGCAAUGGGCGCAAGCCUGACGGAGCAACGCCGCGUGAGUGAUGAAGGUCUUCGGAUCGUAAAACUCUGUUAUUAGGGAAGAACAAAUGUGUAAGUAACUAUGCACGUCUUGACGGUACCUAAUCAGAAAGCCACGGCUAACUACGUG
rnacentral:rRNA from 1 species